CCCUUAGAUGUCCUGGGCCGCACGCGCGUUACACUGAUGCAUUCAACGAGCUUAUAACCUUGGCCGAGAGGCCUGGGCAAUCUUGUUAACGUGCAUCGUGAUAGGGAUAGAUUAUUGAAAUUAUUAAUCUUGAACGAGGAAUUCCUAGUAAACGCAGAUCAUCAAUCUGCAUUGAUUACGUCCCUGCCCUUUGUACACACCGCCCGUCGCACCUACCGAUUGGAUGGUCCGGUGAAGCCUCGGGAUUGUGGUUCUUGCCGCUUUAUUGUGGCGUGAUCGCGAGAACUUGUCUAAACCUUAUCAUCUAGAGGAAGGUGAAGUCGUAACA
rnacentral:rRNA from 1 species